rnacentral:rRNA from 1 species
AGUGAACGCUGGCGGUAGGCCUAACACAUGCAAGUCGAACGGCAGCACAGUAAGAGCUUGCUCUUACGGGUGGCGAGUGGCGGACGGGUGAGGAAUACAUCGGAAUCUACUUUUUCGUGGGGGAUAACGUAGGGAAACUUACGCUAAUACCGCAUAUGACCUACGGGUGAAAGCAGGGGAUCUUCGGACCUUGCGCGACUGAAUGAGCCGAUGUCGGAUUAGCUAGUUGGCGGGGUAAAGGCCCACCAAGGCGACGAUCCGUAGCUGGUCUGAGAGGAUGAUCAGCCACACUGGAACUGAGACACGGUCCAGACUCCUACGGGAGGCAGCAGUGGGGAAUAUUGGACAAUGGGCGCAAGCCUGAUCCAGCCAUACCGCGUGGGUGAAGAAGGCCUUCGGGUUGUAAAGCCCUUUUGUUGGGAAAGAAAAGCAGCAGGUUAAUACCCCGCUGUUCUGACGGUACCCAAAGAAUAAGCACCGGCUAACUUCGUG